UUAGGCGUUGUUGGGUAGGGGAGCGUUCUGUAAGCCGUUGAAGGUGGCCUGUGAGGGUUGCUGGAGGUAUCAGAAGUGCGAAUGCUGACAUAAGUAACGAUAAAGCGGGUGAAAAGCCCGCUCGCCGGAAGACCAAGGGUUCCUGUCCAACGUUAAUCGGGGCAGGGUGAGUCGACCCCUAAGGCGAGGCUGAAAAGCGUAGUCGAUGGGAAACAGGUUAAUAUUCCUGUACUUGGUGUUACUGCGAAGGGGGGACGGAGAAGGCUAGGCUAGCCGGGCGACGGUUGUCCCGGUUUAAGCGUGUAGGGGGUGUGACCUGGUAAAUCCGGUUACAUAUCAACCCUGAGGCGUGAUGACGAUGCACUACGGUGCAGAAGUAGUUGAUGCCCUGCUUCCAGGAAAAGCCUCUAAGCUCUAGGUAACAUUGAAUCGUACCCCAAACCGACACAGGUGGUCAGGUAGAGAAUACCAAGGCGCUUGAGAGAACUCGGGUGAAGGAACUAGGCAAAAUGGUGCCGUAACUUCGGGAGAAGGCACGCUGGCAUGUAGGUGAAGUCCUUCGCGGAUGGAGCUGAAGCCAGUCGAAGAUACCAGCUGGCUGCAACUGUUUAAUAAAAACACAGCACUGUGCAAACACGAAAGUGGACGUAUACGGUGUGACGCCUGCCCGGUGCUGGAAGGUUAAUUGAUGGGGUCAGCCGCAAGGCGAAGCUCUUGAUCGAAGCCCCAGUAAACGGCGGCCGUAACUAUAACGGUCCUAAGGUAGCGAAAUUCCUUGUCGGGUAAGUUCCGACCUGCACGAAUGGCGUAAUGAUGGCCAGGCUGUCUCCACCCGAGACUCAGUGAAAUUGAACUCGCUGUGAAGAUGCAGUGUACCCGCGGCAAGACGGAAAGACCCCGUGAACCUUUACUAUAGCUUGACACUGAACAUUGAGCCUUGAUGUGUAGGAUAGGUGGGAGGCUUUGAAGCGUGGACGCCAGUCUGCGUGGAGCCAUCCUUGAAAUACCACCCUUUAAUGUUUGAUGUUCUAACUCGGCCCCAUAAUCUGGGGUGAGGACAGUGUCUGGUGGGUAGUUUGACUGGGGCGGUCUCCUCCCAAAGAGUAACGGAGGAGCACGAAGGUUAGCUAAUCACGGUCGGACAUCGUGAGGUUAGUGCAAAGGCAUAAGCUAGCUUGACUGCGAGAGUGACGGCUCGAGCAGGUACGAAAGUAGGUCUUAGUGAUCCGGUGGUUCUGAAUGGAAGGGCCAUCGCUCAACGGAUAAAAGGUACUCCGGGGAUAACAGGCUGAUACCGCCCAAGAGUUCAUAUCGACGGCGGUGUUUGGCACCUCGAUGUCGGCUCAUCACAUCCUGGGGCUGAAGUAGGUCCCAAGGGUAUGGCUGUUCGCCAUUUAAAGUGGUACGCGAGCUGGGUUUAGAACGUCGUGAGACAGUUCGGUCCCUAUCUGCCGUGGGCGUUGGAAGAUUGAGAGGGGUUGCUCCUAGUACGAGAGGACCGGAGUGAACGCACCACUGGUGUUCGGGUUGUCAUGCCAAUGGCAUUGCCCGGUAGCUAAGUGCGGAAAAGAUAAGCGCUGAAAGCAUCUAAGCGCGAAACUUGCCUCAAGAUGA
rnacentral:rRNA from 1 species